rnacentral:rRNA from 1 species
GCUUAGAAGCAGCCAUCAUUUAAAGAGUGCGUAAUAGCUCACUAGUCGAGUGACACUGCGCCGAAAAUGUACCGGGGCUAAACAUAUUACCGAAGCUGUGGAUUGUCCUUUGGACAAUGGUAGGAGAGCGUUCUAAGGGCGUUGAAGCAUGAUCGUAAGGACAUGUGGAGCGCUUAGAAGUGAGAAUGCCGGUGUGAGUAGCGAAAGACGGGUGAGAAUCCCGUCCACCGAUUGACUAAGGUUUCCAGAGGAAGGCUCGUCCGCU